UAAUACAAUUUUUCUUCUCCAAAAUGAAACAGAAAAUAUGUGCGGUCGACAUAAAUUAUUUUUCUGUACGAAAAAGUGUCAAAGUCUUUGAUAGUUUUUUUAGCGUGUAUACUUUGCCGACCUCUCUGAUGGAUCAAAACAUUGUAGCGAAAAAAAAAAGGAAAAAAUCGCUCCAUCACAAAUGUUGGCGGUUUCAUUGAAAAUUUAAAAAAAAAACACCAGGAAAAUGACGGAGAUUCUCGGUUUUCUUCAAAAUUGUCAACAUUCCACCGUGCAGUGCAUUGAAGGAAGUGUGAUAUGGAGAUGGUCACCGACUUAGGCUGCCACAAAAUUAAACGAUCCCGGCGCCGCUGACUUUACUCGGGUUCGGAAGAGAAAAAACCAGACAGCAGAGAAACGAGUGUCCCAACCGCAAGAGGAAAGCCAUCUUCGAGGAUAACAUGGUGCUGCCUAAUUGCUUCAGUCUUGGGCAUAGUUUUGGCUCGGGAAUGGAAGCAACCAAUUUCCUGAUAAUGAAAGAUCCACCGGAGCAGGAGUUUAAUGAAAAUUGUUAGAAACAAAAAUUGUGAUUUUAUUUGCUAAACAAGUUAAAGUGUAAAAUUUUAAUGAACAUUAAAAAU